rnacentral:rRNA from 1 species
AGAGCGAACGCUGGCGGCAGGCCUAACACAUGCAAGUCGAGCGGCCGUAGCAAUACGGCAGCGGCAGACGGGAUAGUAACACGUGGGAACGCGCCCUUCGGUUCGGAAUAACUCAGGGAAACUUGAGCUAAUACCGGAUACGCCCUUACGGGGAAAGAUUUAUUGCCGAAGGAACGGCCCGCGUCCGAUUAGCUAGUUGGGGGGGUAAUGGCCCACCAAGGCGACGACGGGUAGCU